rnacentral:rRNA from 1 species
UACAUGGGGUGCAAACGUUGCUCGGAAUUAUUGGGCGUAAAGCGCACGUAGGCGGUUUGUUAAGUCGGAUGUGAAAUCCCUCGGCUCAACUGAGGAAGUGCAUCCGAAACUGGCAGGCUUGAGUACUAAAGAGGGUCGCGGAAUUCCCGGUGUAGAGGUGAAAUUCGUAGAUAUCAGGAGGAACACCGGUGGCGAAGGCGGGUCUCUGGGCCGUAACUGACGCUGAGGAGCGAAAGCGUGGGGAGCGAACAGG